GAUGUUAGCGGCGGACGGGUGAGUAACACGUGGGUAACCUGCCCAUAAGACUGGGAUAACUCCGGGAAACCGGGGCUAAUACCGGAUAGYAGUUUGAACCGCAUGGUUCAAACAURAAAGGYGGCUUCGGCUGUCACUUACRGAUGGACCCGCGKCGCAUUAGCUAGUUGGUGAGGUAACGGCUCACCAAGGCAACGAUGCGUAGCCGACCUGAGAGGGUGAUCGGCCACACUGGGACUGAGACACGGCCCAGACUCCUACGGGAGGCAGCAGUAGGGAAUCUUCCGCAAUGGACGAAAGUCUGACGGAGCAACGCCGCGUGAGUGAUGAAGGYUUUCGGAUCGUAAAACUCUGUUGUUAGGGAAGAACAAGUGCUAGUUGAAUARGGCGGCACCUUGACGGUACCUAACCAGAAAGCCACGGCUAACUACGUGCCAGCAGCCGCGGUAAUACGUAGGUGGCAAGCGUUAUCCGGAAUUAUUGGGCGUAAAGSGCKCGCAGGYGGUUUCUUAAGUCUGAUGUGAAAGCCCMCGGCUCAACCGGGGAGGGUCAUUGGAAACUGGGRRACUUGAGUGCAGAAGAGGARAGUGGAAUUCCAYGUGUAGCGGUGAAAUGCGUAGAGAUAUGGAGGAACACCAGUGGCGAAGGCGACUUUCUGGUCUGUAACUGACGCUGAGGAGCGAAAGCGUGGGGAGCGAACAGGAUUAGAUACCCUGGUAGUCCACGCCGUAAACGAUGAGUGCUAAGUGUUAGAGGGUUUCCGCCCCUUAGUGCUGCAGCUAACGCAUUAAGC
rnacentral:rRNA from 1 species